GAAUAUUGAUCUCAGCAUUACUCUAUUAAUGAAAUAUGAUGGCAAUAAGCAGAGACACGCACCUCUACCCCCCUGGGAGCUUAAUCUUCUGCUACAACAUUUGCAUUUACUUUUUCCUGCUUGAGGAAUGGCUGAGGUGAGCAGACAGCCAAGUGCAGUGGCCACGGUGACAGCAGGCAAAGGGCCAGUGCUGCCAGCCUGGGCUCCUCCUUCCGUUUAUCGUCUUGUUGAGUGGAAGACAUUUGCCAGGAGGAAAACCCACACAUUCCAGGACAUUGAGAAAAAAAUGACUAUUAUUUUCAACUUCAUCAUCUCAUAACACAGAGGACAAUAGGACAACAUGACAUUAAGAAAUAAGGCAGAAUCUCACAAAGAACUUUCUUGCUUGCUUGCUUGCUUUGAUGGUGUUGAGGAUCAGAUCUAGGGCUUACAUAAUAGGCAAAUGCUCUAAAAUUAGGCUAUAUCUCUAAGAUCUUUACUUUUCUAAUUUUUUUUUUUUUUUUUUAAUGUACUGGGGAUUGACUCCAGGGCCUUCCUACUAAGCUACAUUCUCAGCCCU
rnacentral:lncRNA from 1 species